GACGAGGGAUCCUAGCGUUGUUCGGAAUCAUUGGGCGUAAAGAGUAUGUAGGCGGCUUUGUAAGUCAGUUGUGAAAUCCCCGGGCUUAACCCGGGAAGUGCAAUUGAUACUGCUUAGCUUGAGUAUGGGAGAGGGUAGUAGAAUUCCUGGUGUAGUGGUGAAAUACGUAGAUAUCAGGAGGAAUACCGGUGGCGAAGGCGGCUACCUGGCCCUAUACUGACGCUGAGAUACGAAAGCGUGGGGAUCAAACAGG
rnacentral:rRNA from 1 species